rnacentral:rRNA from 1 species
GAUGAACGCUGGCGGCGUGCCUAAUACAUGCAAGUCGAGCGAACGGACGCGAAGCUUGCUUUUCUGAUGUUAGCGGCGGACGGGAGAGUAAUAAGUGGAUCACCUACCUAUAAGACUGGGAUAACUUCGGGAAAACGGCGCUAAUCCCGGCUAAUAUUUUGAACCGCAUGGUUCAAAGGUGAAAGGCGGUCUUGCUGUCACUUAUAGAUGGAUCCGCGCUGCAUUAGCUAGUUGGUAAGGUCAAGGAUUACCAAGGCAACUAUGGAUAGGCCACCGGAGAGGGGGAUAGCCCACAUGGGAACGGAGACACGGUCCAGACUCCUGCGGGAGGCAGCAGUAGGGAAUCGUCCGCAAUGGGCGAAAGCCUGACGGAGCAACGCCGCGUGUGAGAUGACGGUCUUCGGAGCGUAAAGCUGGGUUUCGAGUGAAGAACAUAUGUGUAAGUAACUGAGGAGAUCGUGACGGUACCUAAUCAAAAAGCCACGGCUAACUACGUG